rnacentral:rRNA from 1 species
GAGGAACUUGCUUCCCGAUUUAGCGGCGGACGGGUGAGUAAUGCCUAGGAAUCUGCCUAUUAGUGGGGGAUAACGUUCCGAAAGGAACGCUAAUACCGCAUACGUCCUACGGGAGAAAGUGGGGGAUCUUCGGACCUCACGCUAAUAGAUGAGCCUAGGUCGGAUUAGCUAGUUGGUGGGGUAACGGCUCACCAAGGCGACGAUCCGUAGCUGGUCUGAGAGGAUGAUCAGCCACACUGGAACUGAGACACGGUCCAGACUCCUACGGGAGGCAGCAGUGGGGAAUAUUGGACAAUGGGCGAAAGCCUGAUCCAGCCAUGCCGCGUGUGUGAAGAAGGUCUUCGGAUUGUAAAGCACUUUAAGUUGGGAGGAAGGGUUGUAAACUAAUAUCUUGCAGCUUUGACGUUACCAACAGAAUAAGCACCGGCUAACUCUGUGCCAGCAGCCGCGGUAAUACAGAGGGUGCAAGCGUUAAUCGGAAUUACUGGGCGUAAAGCGCGCGUAGGCGGCUUAGUAAGUUGGAUGUGAAAGCCCCGGGCUCAACCUGGGAACUGCAUCCAAAACUGCUUGGCUAGAGUACAGUAGAGGGUGGUGGAAUUUCCUGUGUA